UACGUAGGUGGCAAGCGUUGUCCGGAAUUAUUGGGCGUAAAGCGCGCGCAGGCGGUCCUUUAAGUCUGAUGUGAAAGCCCACGGCUCAACCGUGGAGGGUCAUUGGAAACUGGGGGACUUGAGUACAGAAGAGAAGAGUGGAAUUCCACGUGUAGCGGUGAAAUGCGUAGAGAUGUGGAGGAACACCAGUGGCGAAGGCGACUUCCUGGCCUGUUCUUGACGCUGAGGCGCGAAAGCUAGGGGAGCAAACGGG
rnacentral:rRNA from 1 species